GUUACUAUAGGAACAGAGCCAGUAAUUAUUCAUCUCUAAUUUGUUUAAUUUAAACAGCAAAAGAAUUGGAAAAUUGAAAACUGAUGUCUGAACUGAAUUAAGGAGGCAAUUCAAAUGCAAGUAACACUAACGUGCCUCAGGGAUGAAUGGGUCCAAUUCAAAGAUACUUAAUUACAGCAUGAAGAUAACUAAAAGAAGCAUCAAUUGAUGAAUAAGAUGUCCUUAUCAGUGGCUAAUGAGCCCAGGAAUC
rnacentral:lncRNA from 1 species